UACGAAGGGGGCUAGCGUUGCUCGGAAUCACUGGGCGUAAGGGGUGCGUAGGCGGGUCUUUAAGUCAGGGGUGAAAUCCUGGAGCUCAACUCCAGAACUGCCCUUGAUACUGAGGAUCUUGAGUUCGGGAGAGGUGAGUGGAACUGCGAGUGUAGAGGUGAAAUUCGUAGAUAUUCGCAAGAACACCAGUGGCGAAGGCGGCUCACUGGCCCGAUACUGACGCUGAGGCACGAAAGCGUGGGGAGCAAACAGG
rnacentral:rRNA from 1 species